AUUGAACGCUGGCGGCAUGCCUUACACAUGCAAGUCGAACGGCAGCACGGGAGCAAUCCUGGUGGCGAGUGGCGAACGGGUGAGUAAUAUAUCGGAACGUGGCCCAGUCGUGGGGGAUAACGCAGCGAAAGUUGUGCUAAUACCGCAUACGGAUCUAUGGAUGAAAGCGGGGAUCGCAAGACCUCGCGCGAUUGGAGCGGCCGAUAUCAGAUUAGGUUGUUGGUGAGGUAAAAGCUCACCAAGCCUGCGAUCUGUAGCUGGUCUGAGAGGACGACCAGCCACACUGGAACUGAGACACGGUCCAGACUCCUACGGGAGGCAGCAGUGGGGAAUUUUGGACAAUGGACGAAAGUCUGAUCCAGCAAUGCCGCGUGCAGGACGAAGGCCUUCGGUUGUAACUGCUUUGUUACAGAACGAAAAAGUACUUUAAUUAACACUAGAGGCUCAUGACGGUACUGUAAGAAUAAG
rnacentral:rRNA from 1 species